UACGUAGGGGGCAAGCGUUGUCCGGAUUUAUUGGGCGUAAAGAGCGUGUAGGCGGCUUUACAGGUCCGUUGUGAAAACUCGAGGCUCAACCUCGAGACGCCGGUGGAAACCGUAAGGCUAGAGUCCGGAAGAGGAGAGUGGAAUUCCUGGUGUAGCGGUGAAAUGCGUAGAUAUCCGGAGGAACACCGGUGGCGAAGGCGGCUUCCUGGACCGACACUGACGCUGAGGCGCGAAAGCUAGGGGAGCAAACGGG
rnacentral:rRNA from 1 species